UACGAAGGGGGCUAGCGUUGCUCGGAAUCACUGGGCGUAAAGGGUGCGUAGGCGGGUCUUUAAGUCAGGGGUGAAAUCCUGGAGCUCAACUCCAGAACUGCCUUUGAUACUGAGGAGCUUGAGUCCGGGAGAGGUGAGUGGAACUGCGAGUGUAGAGGUGAAAUUCGUAGAUAUUCGCAAGAACACCAGUGGCGAAGGCGGCUCACUGGCCCGGUACUGACGCUGAGAUGCGAAAGCGUGGGGAGCAAACAGG
rnacentral:rRNA from 1 species